AGAGAAGAGAGACAAUAAACUCCAGAUGAUGCAGGGGAAAAGAGACAGCAACUUCUAGGAGUGAGUUUUGAAACUAUAAGUCCUACUUCUCUUCUAAUGGUUCACCUUAAUCUGUCAUUGGAGUAUGAAAAAUCUAAUUCACGUCCUCAAAUUUAUCAGUCCAAGUGGUAACAGAGAAGGUGAAAAGAAGUGAAAGACAAUGGCCACCCAGUGUGACAAGUUAGGUUCAGCUGCAAUGAGGGGACAGACGAAGAGCUCCUGAGUCAGACUGGAGUGGAAGAGGCUCAGGGCUGGCCCAGGAGCAAACCAGAGGCUAUAUUUUAGUGGACAAACAAGUCUCACACACACGAAGAAAGAAGGUUGAAGAGAUUUAAAGACAGAGGGAGGCACAUGUACAGAGGAAGAGAGACAACUGGAAGUGUGAAGUGGAUUUGGAGAACUGCGAAUUGUACUGUUUCCACCUUCCAGACCUCCGUCAUGUCAUAGCACACGUCAGGAAACCGAAGCUAUUGAUUUGACACCCUGGGCUUCCUGGCAGCUUGCAGGUCAGUAGGUAUGUGGGUAGGAUCAAGACGAUUCUGAGAUUCAUGAGCAUCAUGACAGAACUUUUCCAGAGGAUCAAUGUACACAUCACCAAAGGCAAAGAAUAAAUAAGGGUGCUAAGACAAAAGUUAAAGAAAUCCAUUUUACC